AAAAAAAAAAAAAAAAAAAAAAAGUAAAAUCAUUGCUUAAAUAUUGAUAUAAAUAUUAUUUUUAUAACUGAGGCGGUAAGUUAGUUAAUAGGUUUUGUAAUAGAAAUAUUUAUUAAAAUUAGUUAAGUUUGUGCCAGCAUCUGCGGUUAGACUAGGAAUUUAGUUAAUAUUUUUUAGGGUUUAUGAUGUCAAAAAGUUUAAGAUAUAAAUUUUGGUGAAAUAAUACGUUGAAUUUUAAUUAAGUUAAUUAAAAUAGGUAUAAAUAAAGCAGGAUUAGAUACCCUGUUAUUUUUUAAUUUUGUUUUCUAAGUAUUAAGGUUAAAUUUAGAAGAUUUGGCGGCUGGGACAAAUUAAAGGAGUUUGUUUUUUAAUUUGAUGUGACUCAUUAUUUUUUACUUAUUUUAUUUAGUAUACCGUCAUUUAGAUAGUUUAUAAUUAAUUAACUAUUGUAAUGGGAUUAAGAAAAUUAGAUCAAGGUGCAGAGAUAAAUAAGGAUAAAUUAACUACAAUAAUAUAUCAUUAAACUUACUCUUUUAAAUCUAAGAUUGCAGGUGGAUUUAAUUGUAAUUAAAUUUAUAUGAAAUUUGUUUUAGUGUACAAAUUGCCCGUCAUUCUCUAUGAGACAAGUCGAAACAAAGUAGGGCUAUCGGAAGUUGGGCCUA
rnacentral:rRNA from 1 species